rnacentral:rRNA from 1 species
CGGUAAGUACGGAGGGUGCGAGCGUUAAUCGGAAUUACUGGGCGUAAAGCGCAUGCAGGUGGUUUGUUAAGUCAGAUGUAGAAAGGACCCGGGGCGUCAACCUACGGAAUUGCUAUUUAGUAAACUGGACAAACUAGAGUACUGUAGAGGGGGUAGGAAUUUCAGGUGUAGCGGUGAAAUGCGUAGAGAUCUGAAGGAAUACCGGUGGCGAAGGCGGCCCCCUGGACAGAUACUGACACUCAGAUGCGAAAGCGUGGGGAGCAAACAGGAUUAGAUACCCUGGUAG